GCGGUGACUACAGGAGAAUGAUCAGAGGGUUGCAACAUCGCUGGCUUUAAAGAUGCAUGAUGGAGGCCAGGAAUGCUGGCGUCCUCUGGAAGGCAAGAAAACGGGAAAGGGUCUUAGGAGAGUUGGACACAUUCAAAACACAAUAUGUGAUUAAGAAGAUUAAAGAUUAAUACUUAUUGAUGGAUUACUAUGUGCCAAACUUCCAACCGAAUCCUGACAACAAUUCCUUAAGAUGUGGAAACUGCAGUUCACUGAGGUUGACAUUUCCGGGUUCAUACAACAAGGAUGGGCAUGAUUGUGAGGCCUCCCCACCCACAUGGAAUGGAACAAUGGUUCAGGAUUCACUAAUUCAGUAUUAGCAGCAACUUUACGGAACAAAACUACUGUGGAUAAUGAGAAUUCACUGCGCCCGUUGUUUAAACAGUUAACAGCAGUCACUUUAGUGCCUUUUGUAGAGACAGAGCACUAUGUGAAGAUUGUGCCUGCUUCCUCUUUGCCUUCCACCAUGAUUGGAAGUUUCCUGAGACCUUCCCAGCAGCAGAAGCCUAUACAGUCUGCAGAACUAGUUCCCCAGCUAUCCCCCAGUGGCUUGGAGAUUCCCAUUUCAAGAGUGUAGAGUUCUACCCAGAAGGUGGCUGCGUGGACAGUGACUACAUUCUCAGCUCCAUGCCUAUUUGGAUGGUCUGAGGCCUUCACUCCUCACCCUUCCUGGAUGUGGUUGCGCCAGAGGCCCUCAACUGAUUGGAUGAUGCCCACCUUCCCUGAGGUAAGCUAUGGGCUUUACUCAGU
rnacentral:lncRNA from 1 species